rnacentral:rRNA from 1 species
CAGCUUGUUGGUGAGGUAAUGGCUCACCAAGGCGACGACGGGUAGCCGGCCUGAGAGGGUGACCGGCCACACUGGGACUGAGACACGGCCCAGACUCCUACGGGAGGCAGCAGUGGGGAAUAUUGCACAAUGGGCGAAAGCCUGAUGCAGCAACGCCGCGUGAGGGAUGACGGCCUUCGGGUUGUAAACCUCUUUUAGUAGGGAAGAAGCGAAAGUGACGGUACCUGCAGAAAAAGCACCGGCUAACUACGUGCCAGCAGCCGCGGUAAUACGUAGGGUGCAAGCGUUGUCCGGAAUUAUUGGGCGUAAAGAGCUCGUAGGCGGUUUGUCGCGUCUGCUGUGAAAUCCCGAGGCUCAACCUCGGGCUUGCAGUGGGUACGGGCAGACUAGAGUGCGGUAGGGGAGAUUGGAAUUCCUGGUGUAGCGGUGGAAUGCGCAGAUAUCAGGAGGAACACCGAUGGCGAAGGCAGAUCUCUGGGCCGUAACUGACGCUGAGGAGCGAAAGCAUGGGGAGCGAACAGGAUUAGAUACCCUGGUAGUCCAUGCCGU